AGAGUUUAACUGUAAGACCCGGCAAGUCGGCUCCUAGACGUUUAUCUAAAAGAAACGAAAACACAUGUCCAUACAAACGCUUGUACCUGACGCUUCACGGCAGCGUUCCUCAUGAUGCCUAAAAAGUAGCAACACGCCACCUGUCCAUCAGCUGACGGGGGAUGAAUAAUCUGUGUGUGUCCAACCUCAAACUCAUUUAGAACCGGGAGGUAACGGGGUCCUACUGGACAGCGCAGGGAUCUCUGCACCGUCUCUUGGGUUAGAGCGUGUUGGGAGGUAGUAUGAAAAAAAAAAAAAAGAGUGUGUGUGUGUGUGUGUGUGUCUAUGGCUGGGUCACUCUGCUGUAUGGCAGAAAUCGAAGGAACGUUGCAAGUCAACUCUACUUUAAAAACGCUUUAGCAGCGGGGGUAUCCCUACCGUACGAUGUUGUCUGGCAGUAAGAGUAUGAAGUACUGAUGUGCUGCUGCUGCGACGUGGGUGAACCUGGGUAACGUUGUGCCACGCGAGAGACGCCUGUCACCUGCUGUCUGGGUCUGUGCGUGCGAAAUGUCCUGGAAAGGAAGAUCCCCAGAGACAGAAGGCAGACCAGGGGUUGCCUAGGGCUGGUGGCGUUGAAAGAAGAUACUGCUAAUGCGCAAGGGGUUUCUUUGGGGGCUGAUGACAUGCUCUCAACGGGGCUGUGGUGACAGUGGCCCGGCGCUGUGAGCGUCCCAACAGUUGACUGCGGCACCGCCAGGGGAGGAACUGCGAAAGCCUGUCGUUACAUAGGGAAGAAGUUGUUUUCCUUUGAAAACAAAAGAGCCGACAGGCAAGAGUUCUCGGUAAAGGGUAGUUCUUGUCCUCUCUACAUCAUUUUUACCUUCUUUCCUUUCUUCAUCCCCCUCAGAUAAACAUCAAGGGAAAUAAAAGCUAAAGCCCCCGGUCUUUUUUAUUUUAUUUUUUUUUCCCCCUCCAAUUGGACCCCUAGCCUGGGAACCUCCCUAUGCCUCGGGAGUGGCUCAAGAAAAGGCAAAAAGACAAAAAAAAAGAAAAGCAAAUCUGAUUAUUUCACUCUCCUGCUUAAUACCCUCCAAUAAAAUCCAGCCUUCUGGAGUUCCCACUGUGUCACAGUGCUUUAAUGAUCUGGGUUGUGUCUGUAGAGGCACUGGUUGGAUCCUUGGCCCAGCACAGCGGAUUAAGGAUCCAGCGUUGCUGAAGCUGUGGUGUAGGUCACAGCUGAGGCUCAGAUUCAGUCCCUGGCCCGGGAACUUCUAUUUG
rnacentral:lncRNA from 1 species